GCCAGGCAUGGUGGCGCAUGCCUGUAAUCCCAGCGGUUUGGGAGGCUGAGGCAGGAGGAUCGCAAGUUCAAAGCUAGUCUCAGCAACUUAGUGAGGCCCUAAGAAAGUCAGGGAGACCCUGUCUCUA
rnacentral:sRNA from 1 species